GUGACGAAAUGCGCCUCGCCUGAUUUGUGACGAUCGUCACGGCACACUGA
rnacentral:snoRNA from 1 species